UACAGAGGUCCCAAGCGUUGUUCGGAUUCACUGGGCGUAAAGGGUGCGCAGGUGGUCGGGUAAGUCUGACGUGAAAUCCCGCAGCUUAACUGCGGAAUGGCAUUGGAUACUAUUCGGCUAGAGGGUUGGAGGGGGGACUGGAAUUCUCGGUGUAGCAGUGAAAUGCGUAGAUAUGUGGAGGAAUACCGAUGGCGAAGGCAGCCCCCUGGGCUAAGAUUGACGCUCAUGCACGAAAGCGUGGGGAGCAAACAGG
rnacentral:rRNA from 1 species